rnacentral:siRNA from 1 species
UCCAUAUUCUUUGGUUGGUCAUA